rnacentral:rRNA from 1 species
AGAGUUUGAUCCUGGCUCAGGACGAACGCUGGCGGCGUGCUUAACACAUGCAAGCCGAACGGAAAGGCCCUUCGGGGUACUCGAGUGGCGAACGGGUGAGUAACACGUGGGUGAUCUGCCCUGCACUCUGGGAUAAGCCUGGGAAACUGGGUCUAAUACCGGAUAGGACCGCAUGCUUCAUGGUGUGUGGUGCAAAGCUUUUGCGGUGUGGGAUGAGCCCGCGGCCUAUCAGCUUGUUGGUGGGGUAAUGGCCUACCAAGGCGACGACGGGUAGCCGGCCUGAGAGGGUGACCGGCCACACUGGGACUGAGAUACGGCCCAGACUCCUACGGGAGGCAGCAGUGGGGAAUAUUGCACAAUGGGCGCAAGCCUGAUGCAGCGACGCCGCGUGAGGGAUGACGGCCUUCGGGUUGUAAACCUCUUUCAGUAGGGACGAAGCGAAAGUGACGGUACCUACAGAAGAAGGACCGGCCAACUACGUGCCAGCAGCCGCGGUAAUACGUAGGGUCCGAGCGUUGUCCGGAAUUACUGGGCGUAAAGAGCUCGUAGGUGGUUUGUCGCGUUGUUCGUGAAAACUCACAGCUUAACUGUGGGCGUGCGGGCGAUACGGGCAGACUAGAGUACUGCAGGGGAGACUGGAAUUCCUGGUGUAGCGGUGGAAUGCGCAGAUAUCAGGAGGAACACCGGUGGCGAAGGCGGGUCUCUGGGCAGUAACUGACGCUGAGGAGCGAAAGCGUGGGUAGCGAACAGGAUUAGAUACCCUGGUAGU